CCGCCGCCGCCACCGUCAGUCCGUCACCAUCGUCGCUUCCUCGUCGAAGCUUUCCCGUCCGUCCCGCAGUCUGUUUCUCCUUGCUAUUUCCGUUUUUAUCUUUCUCUCAGUUUGUUUCGCAUCAUUCCGAUCUGUAACUUACAGUCCUCUCUUGUUCAUACCGGCGGGGGCACGAACUAUUUUGUGCGGCGCCGCGAUGCAAAGAGGGGAUAGAUCGACGCGUCAAGAAAUCGUUUCAGUUGCCAUGACUCCAGUAGGCAAUAUGAUUGUUGCUUGACCACAGUUCACCCUCUCUAUUUCUUCUCUUUCUUUGUUUUAGUCUCGUUUUCGUUUUUAAGAUCAAAAUCGGUUUAUGCACGGUGCUAACCCCGGGCUUAUCGGAUUACACCUUGAAGAAGGAAGCCCCAAUGCCUGUGCUAGAUCUACCACGCCAUUCAGUGUUGCAGGCUAUGAUAAAUAUUGUGAUUGGUCUGUGUCAAAGCAAUGGAUACACAUAUUCAUAACAGCUCAUCUCUUAUGAACUUUCUUUUGAUUGACGGCAGUGUUUUGUUUGAUUGAUGGCAGUGAUUUGACAUUACCCGCGCUUCUGAUGUAACACGUGAAGCAAAGGGAAAAAUAAUGGUUGAAUUUCUUAAUAUGAGCCAUCCAGUAAUCAAUAAUAAUUCUAUUGUCUUAGUUGUUUGCUGCAUCGGUGUUAUUUUUUCUCAUGUUAUUGAUUGGCAUGCCUUAUUGAUUUGGCAGUGAUGAUACAACCUUUCAGCUUACAAACGCCAGUUCUGCUUCUGAGAAUUCAUGACAGAUAAAGCUGAUACGCAUCUGAGCCUUGAUCUCUCAAGUGUUUCCGCACAUUCAUACUCACUUUAGAAUAAUUCGUUUAUGCAUCAAUCUGAACAUCGAAUACCAUUGGCCACUGAUGAAAUCGCCCAAUGUUUGUAGGCUGCAAUCGGCUCCAAGUUCCUGCUUGUCAGGAAGAACCUACUUGGAGCUCUGCACUCAAAUGACAACAACGGGCAAUGCUGAGGUCCUAGGUGCUAUGUCUCAAUGUGUUUAGUUUAUUCUUAUAGUUUCAUUGACCAAACAAUGAUGCUGUGUUAUGUGCCGAGUUUAACUAUCCUCGCGCAAGUGCUUUCUGAUUUGCGUGGAGGCUGAAAAACUUGCAGAGUGUGUGUUGUCAUCAGCUUCGUCUCUUUUUUUACUGUGAGAUGGGAGUUAAAUAACAGCACGAUAUUGUCUACUCCUGUGUGUUUCAACCGUGGACCUAUUUUGCUUUGUUCCUUGCAAUUAACAUUUCAGCUUUUUGGAUUUGGAAGCCUAGGGAAUUCAGCUCAACAAAUAGCCGUGGUCUAUCCACCAAGUUAGUCAAAGCCCAAAAUACAUCUCCUCCGUGCAUAAUGUGUCCCUGAAAGCCCAAGGUGUACAUAACCCCUGCUAUAUUGCUUAUUCAUUCGAAGCUGCCCUGCUUUAUUAUUUAUUUGUUUGAAGCUGUAUCCCUGAUUGUAUUAUUUUCUUUUUUUUGUGGCAUAUUGGUUGAUUUAAGAUUGGAGCAGUGAUGAGCAUUUUUUGUGGACUAGAGUUUCUGAUACUACCUCUGUAGUAUUUGAUGACCACACCCUUGGCUGUCUGAGCUCUGAAUUCUCACUUCAACUUUUUUAUUGUUUACUUAGAUUGUUAUUUGCUUUCUGAUGUGAUAGUUGACCUGAGAUUUGAGUGAUGAUGAACUGUUGUGUUUUGGACUAGAGUUUUUCUGAUACUGCUACAUCGUGAUAGUAGUUGAAGAAAUCGAUUCAGUUGCCAUGGCUCCUGUAGGCUAUAUGAUUGUUGCUUGACCACAACUUCGUACCCCCCCUCUCUCUCUUGAUUUUUCCGUUUGAUCUUGCUUGCCGUUUGAGGACAUAAUAAAUAAUAUAUGUGUAUGCAUGGUGCUAACCCCGGGCUUGUUGGAUUACGUUCCCUUGAAGAAGGAAGCCCCAAUGCCUGUGCUAGAUCCAGCAUGCCAUUCAGUGUUGCAGGCUAUGAUAAUUCUUGUGAGUGGCCUGUGUCAAAGCAAUGGAUACAGAUGUUAGUAAAAUCGUCACUUUUUUUCCCUGUUGCGUUUGGUUGUUGGCAGUGAUUUGACAUUACCCGCGCUUCUGAUCUAACACGUGAAGCAAAGGGAAAAAUAAUGGUUGAAUUUCUUAAUAUGAGCCAUUCGUUAAUCAAAGCAUCACCUUUCUUCGAUUGUUUAUUCGGCAUCAUCUUCCUUAUUUAUCGAUCUUUAAGGCAGUGAUGAUACAACCAUUCAGCUUAAAACGCCAGUUCUGCUUCUGAGAAUUCAUGACAGAUAGAGCUGAUUAAAAAUCUGAGCCUUCUUCGCACAUUUUUAAUAAACAAUUCUAUUUUUUCUUAGACCAAAAUACAUCACGUUGGCCACUGAUGAAAUCGCCCAAUGUGUGGAGGCUGCAUUCGGCUCCAAGUUCCUGCUUGUCAGGAAGAACCUACUUGGAGCCCUGCACUCGAAUGACAACAAUGGGCAAUGCUGAGGUACUAGAUGCUAUGUCUAAGAGUGUUUUGUUAUUUCUUUUAGUUUCACUGAUCUGCCGUCCAAAUAAUGACAAAUAAUGAUUCUGUGUUAUGUGCCGAGUUUAAGUAUCCGUGCGCAACUGCGUUCUGAUUUGCGUGGAGGAUGAAAAACUCGGAGAGUGUGUGUUGUCAUCAGCUUCGUCUCUUUUUUACUGUGAGAUGGGAGUUAAAUAACAGCACAAUAUUGUCUAGUCCUUUGUGUUUCCAUUGUGGCCCUAUUCUGCUUUGUUCCUUGCAACAAACUAACAUUUCAGCCUUUUGGAAGCCUACGGAAUUCAGCUCAACAAGUAGCCCAGGUCUAUCCACCAAGUUAGCCAAAGCCCAAAUUACAUCUCUCCCGUGCAUAAUGUGUCCCUGAAAUCCCAAGGCUCAUUCGAAACUGCCCUGCUUUAUUCUUUAUUUCUUCGAAGCUGUAUCCCAGGUUAUAUUAUUGUCUUUUUUGGUAAAUUGGUUGAUUUGAGAUUGGAGCAGUGAUGAGCAUUUUUUUUCUGGACUAGAGUUUCUGAUACUGCCUGUAUUUGAUUAUCAAACCCUUGGCUGUCUGAGCUCUGAAUUCUCACUCAACCUUUUUAUUGUUCACUUAGAUUGUUAUUUGCUUUCUGCCGUGAAAGUUGACCCGAGAUUUGGGUGAUGACGAACUUUAGUGUUUUGGACUAGAGUUUGUCUUUCUGAUACUGCUACAUCGUGGUUGUAGUUGAAGACCAAACCCUUGGCUGUCUGAACUCAAAUCUUGGAUUCAGCUGUAACGUUGUUAUCUUUAGAGUUUAGAUUAAUUCUGUUUUUCUAAUUCUUUUAGUUAGAUGCGUCCAUUACCAAUUCUGGAGGAUUAUUUCGUUUCUUUAAGUAUAAUGGCUCGGACGCGACAUUCAAUUCUUGUGGUUAUAUCCUGAUUGGUGGCGUUUUUUGUGCCAAUCCGAUCCUGGAAAGGCCACAUAAAUUCAAUAACUCGUGAAUUCUAAUUUUAUUUCUUAUGUUUGUGGGAUCUAAAGGAUGUGAAACUUUGAAAGGGACAAUGCCUUAUCUAUUUGAUUGUGGUGUACCAUGACUAUUCUUUCAUAUUGAAUAGGAAGAUCUGAUAGAUCCCUCAGACUUGUUUUUUCUUUUCUUUUUCUGUUUCUGAAGUUUGAUCUGAUUUGAGGUGUGGAUGAUGAUAACACAAGUAAAAUACAAUUAUCCCUGUCUGAUUCCUUCAAAAGGGUGCUGAGAAUACUUUAAUCUGACACGUUUUGUUGUGUCUUUCAUCCGGUCUUUAUGUUAGUACAAAGUUCUUUUGUUGAAUAUUGGCCUUUGAUGACCUGAUGGUUGCAGAACAGUUCUGUUAUCCUAGUCCCAGUGAAGAUCUCAAGACCUACCGAUAGGAAGUGCCGUUUGACACUGUUACCAGCAGCUGCUUCUUUCAUCUGCAGGUGACCAUCCUUAGACCAUAACCUUUGUGGUUUGGUCUUGGGGUGUAGUUCCCAUCUGCUGAUGUUUGAUUCAGAUGUGGGGUGUGAUUUAAAUCGGGUCUCUGAGGGAUUGUAUGAAACUAUCGUUCAUGUCAUUGUAGCUUUGUGCGUUGUUUGCCAGUAUCAGGGCCUGAUGCCACGUCAAUGGUAGCUAUGAGCAUUAACCGGAGAUGCCACGUCAAUGCUUUAGAACAUGCUUCAAAUUGUCUUACAUCUAUUCUUGUUUUCUAUUUGUGGAUUGCAAAUGAUGAUAAAAUCAAGGCUUGUUUCUCUAUAUUCGCAGUUGCCACCUAAGAGCUUUAGCCCAAUCAGGCUUGAGAGCUAGUGUUGCUAAAUGCUUGGAUGUCUGUUGCAAUCAUGCAAAUUCAAUAUUUUCUCCUGUUGUAUUUGCAUACCAUUGUUCCACCAGUCUCUUCAAGUGUCGUCUCUUCUUUAAAUUACAGUUGGUUUUCUGAAUUGUGCUUACAAUUGUUCCACUUAGUCUCUAAAUUCUGGCGGGCUAAAGCUCUUAGGCAGCUCUGCAAUUCUGGCUGCUCCUUCUGUUUGCUAAAUUGUGCCUAAGAGCCUCCUGACUGGCUGUCUGCAGUUCUGCUGCCCCUUUUGUUUCCAUUUUUUUUCGACUGUCAAUCAUCAUUUAGAAGUUACUAAAUUCUUGCAGACAGCCAGUCCAGUUAUGUUCUACGAUAUUUGAAGAUUAUGCAAAGAGUGGAACUGCUGCACAAGUAGAGCUUUAACAUUAAAGGAAGUGGACUCAGGCUUCUAAGGGGACGAAAAGUGCUAACUAGGAAACUAAGGGAUGGGUUUGUUAGGGUUGAGUAUUCUGUUUCUAGAAAUAGCCUGAGCACUCGACAUUCCAGAUCACCCUUCUAGUAAACAGAUUAAAGCGCCUGCCUGAACUGGGGUUUUCUUUGUAAGGUAUGUAAAUGUUGUGAUUGAUUAACAUUGUGGUUGUAUGUUGUGGUUGUAAACGUUGCAGUUGUAUAUAUUGUAUAUAGCCGGUAUAUGCAACUGGACCCAUUUUUGACA